rnacentral:lncRNA from 1 species
AUGUUUAAUAUCUUGGAUACAUAUUGUCUUGUGGUUAAUUAAAGAUAUUGGUUUAUAAAUUAAACCAUGAGGCCACCCUUAUCAUUCAUUUCAACAAACAAAAUUUCAUUUCUUUCUUUCCUUCUUUGAUGCUCUCGGCCGAAUACCAUAGUCCACCCACCAACACUUUCAAUUUUCCAUCUUGCCAUCCCACAUACAUAUCAAGGUGCUAGAGUUCACAUAAGGAGACCCGGUGCUUACGGAAUCGCAAGGACCUCACCACAACGCCAUUAACCACCUAUUUUUCGUCUAGUUUCUUCCCUAGCCUCGAGCUAGUAUCUACUAAAAAUAAUAAACUUGGUGGUUAAUGAAUGAAUGUUACGACGUUAAAUAAGCAAACCCGGUGAAGUUUACGACGCACAGGAACGCAAAGUUGUAACUAGGAUGGAUGUGCGCGGGGUCUCACUUAUGCUCGUGGAUGUCGCUUGUGUUUGUCUUUAAAUAAAGUGUAAACCUUUUAAGACAAUGUUUUAUGUUAACUCGCGAUGUAAACGCUAA